CCCGCUGAACUUAAGCAUAUCAAUAAGCGGAGGAAAAGAAACCAACAGGGAUUGCCUUAGUAACGGCGAGUGAAGCGGCAACAGCUCAAAUUUGAAAUCUGGCUCCUUCAGGGCCCGAGUUGUAAUUUGUAGAGGAUGCUUCGGCGUCGGCUCCGGUCUAAGUUCCUUGGAACAGGACGUCAUAGAGGGUGAGAAUCCCGUAUGUGAUCGGUUGCCUUUGCCAUGUGAAGCUCCUUCGACGAGUCGAGUUGUUUGGGAAUGCAGCUCUAAAUGGGAGGUAAAUUUCUUCUAAAGCUAAAUACUGGCCAGAGACCGAUAGCGCACAAGUAGAGUGAUCGAAAGAUGAAAAGCACUUUGGAAAGAGAGUCAAAAAGUACGUGAAAUUGUUGAAAGGGAAGCGCUUGCGACCAGACUCGCCUGCGGGGUUCAGCCGGUAUUCGUACCGGUGUACUUCCCCGUGGGCGGGCCAGCGUCGGUUUGGGCGGCCGGUCAAAGGCCCUCGGAAUGUAACGCCUCUCGGGGCGUCUUAUAGCCGAGGGUGCCAUGCGGCCAGCCCGGACCGAGGAACGCGCUUCGGCACGGACGCUGGCAUAAUGGUCGUAAGCGACCCGUCUUGAAACACGG
rnacentral:rRNA from 1 species